AUGCCCCUUAUGACCUGGGCUACACACGUGCUACAAUGGACAGAACAAAGGGCUGCAAGACCGCAAGGUUUAGCCAAUCCCAUAAAUCUGUUCUCAGUUCGGAUCGCAGUCUGCAACUCGACUGCGUGAAGCUGGAAUCGCUAGUAAUCGCGGAUCAGCAUGCCGCGGUGAAUACGUUCCCGGGCCUUGUACACACCGCCCGUCACACCACGAGAGUUUGCAACACCCGAAGUCGGUGA
rnacentral:rRNA from 1 species